rnacentral:lncRNA from 10 species
UCUCUAUAAUCUUUAUUUAAUGUUACCAUGGUAUUUAGGAUACUUCUGGCCUCAAAAUAGUACUGCUUUGGUUUUCUAGAGGCCACUUCAUUAUUUUCCCUUUGGGCCCAUAAGGGUUCUGCCUCUGGCUUUUUGCUGAGGAUACGACAUUUGGCAUCAGAUCAAAGAGUGCAAGUAUCUCUUCUUCCGGGCUUUCUAAGCCUCUCUGCUCCUUAGCAUGGAUAUUUCUAUCUGGUUGCCCAUAACAGACUCAUCAUUCCACUAUGCUUCUAUUUAGGGUUGUACUAUAUGUAUUCACUCCUCUUUAGUAUGGUUCCCUUGUCAGAGUAAAUCCAUCUUGGAGCAGAGAGCUGCUUGCCCCACUUUGACUUCGUUUCUCACAAGUCCAUGGAAGCCAUGCGCUGGGAUAAAUUUAGCUCAGCUCUUGACCCUGACAGGUCAUAGAAGCUGUCCUUUAUACUCCGAAUUGCCUUAGGUCAUUUUAAUGGUAAGAAGUAUUUUCUUUUAACUUUUUUCCCCUUUUCUUCCUGAUGUCAUUUAUUAUACAACAUGCUUUCUUGUUCUUCCAUGAUCAGAACUAAUCACAAUAGGAAAACAGAAGACUCACCUGAGAAACACCAGGGCAGCUGAGAGCUCAUAAAGAAACUGAAAACGGAACAAAAUUGUGCAUAGCCUGCCUUCCACAUACAGACUUUGCAUUUGGUAGAUUAUUGGUGGUUCAGUAAAUGAACUUUAACAUAGCUCUGUAAUCACACAGUCGUGUGCAUCCAUCCCCAGCUGUCAACAGGAUCUUCUGAGUAAAACACAGCUAAAUAAAUCUCUGCAAUGAGGAAGGACCGCAAUCAAAGCUACCUUCCAUUAGAGCUACCUGCCAAAUUUUGGAUGGCAGCACCCCAAGAUGAAAGGAGCUUGGAUCCCCAAGUCAUUAUUUGGAGGAGAGCCUCUGCAAAGAACUGCCUGCUGUGCACUGGACUGUGAGAUUUUUAGAAGAGGCCAUUUUAUAAGGAAGACACUUUCAUUGAAUGUGUUUUCCAAGAGAACUGUUGCUAACAGUAUGUUACUUAUGUGUCCUUCGUAAUUCCCAUGUGCUUGUCCCAUGAAUAGAUCUCACUCUGUUCCCAAGAGCAACAAACCAUUCACAACAAGACCUGAUGAAAACAAGUUAUUUUCAAAUUGAUUUUCCUUUCUGUAAAAAGCUCUUAUCAUCCAAUUUACUAAAAAAUUUCUUCUAAUUAAAGGCUCAUUAUUU